rnacentral:sRNA from 1 species
GAUAAGUUGAGGUGUUAAAGUUAGUAUC